UACGUAGGGCGCAAGCGUUAUCCGGAAUUAUUGGGCGUAAAGAGCUCGUAGGCGGUUUGUCGCGUCUGCUGUGAAAGCCCGGGGCUCAACCCCGGGUCUGCAGUGGGUACGGGCAGACUAGAGUGAUGUAGGGGAGACUGGAAUUCCUGGUGUAGCGGUGAAAUGCGCAGAUAUCAGGAGGAACACCGAUGGCGAAGGCAGGUCUCUGGGCAUUAACUGACGCUGAGGAGCGAAAGCAUGGGGAGCGAACAGG
rnacentral:rRNA from 2 species